GGAUCUGCCGCUAGAGGCGGGGGCCCAAAGCCCCCCGCUGGGCCCGGGCGAGGAUGGGCGGGCAGGAGGCGGAGCGCAGCGCGGCGCUGCGCUGGGCGGCGGGAAAGGGGCGGGGAGGACAGCUCAGGCUUAAGCGGGCAGAGGGACGGUGGCAGAACCUGCGGGCUAGGUGGGAGGCUCACCCACAGGGAGGAAGGGAAGCGAGGACCGCCGCUGCUGAGGAGCGAGGAGACGCUUGGAGUCCAGGGGUCAGGCCGCUGCCACCUCCUCCUGCAGCGGAGACAGCACAGCCAGCGGGCGCACUGGCCGCAACGGCAACCCUCCGCGCAGAGCUCUCGAGCGGCUUUAGAGAACUGCGACCCCCUCCCUCGUCCGCAAUCUCGGUGGUGUGUGCACUUCGCCCCCCUCUUCACAAUCCACACCCAGCAACCAUCAGGACGCCCCCUGCUCUGUAGGAACCUUGGGAGAAGAGAGAGUGGUGGCAAGACCAGCCAGGGUGUGUUCGGGGAAGGCAGGAGUUGCUGGAGUAUUGUCUGCCGGGGACGGUGCCUGAGCCCGCGCGCUCCCUCGCGCUUUCAGGGCCAGAGUUGGGGGCGGGGGGCGGGCGCGGGGGGUUUGCUGAACUUAUCUCCGAAGGCUGACUGUGCACAUGCACUUGGCGACUUGUGCACGUUUGGACGAGGACUUAAUGGAGGCACGUGGGAGCAGGAUCGGUCGCUGGCGGGCCCCCAAAGAGCCUCUUGGCUCUUGGGAUGGCCCAGCGCGUGUUCUGGGGUGGGAAGGAAGGGAGAGUGUGCGUGUGUGUGAAUGUCCGUCCUAGGGAGGAGAAGGAGGAGAGUGGCUCGAGGAGACUUGAUUUUCUUGGAUUUGCUGCCAGUCCGUAAACCAAACCAGGCUUUCGAGGCGCUAAAGUAAAUUACCGGUAAGUGGAUCUCUGGUGGCGAUAAAAAGGACCCUGGGUUUGCUGGGGUAGCGGGCUCGGCGGGCAUGCUCACCGGGUAGCUUUUGGCGCUAUCUCGCCUAGGUGGUGGGGGUGGGAGUGUGAAUGUGUCUUUGGCUUAAGGUGCUG
rnacentral:lncRNA from 1 species